UACAUGGGGUGCAAACGUUGCUCGGAAUUAUUGGGCGUAAAGCGCACGUAGGCGGUUCGUUAAGUCGGAUGUGAAAGCCCUCGGCUCAACUGAGGAAGUGCACCCGAAACUGGCGAGCUUGAGUACGAAAGAGGAUCGCGGAAUUCCCGGUGUAGAGGUGAAAUUCGUAGAUAUCGGAAGGAACACCUGUGGCGAAAGCGGACUCACUGGACCAUUACUGACGCUGAGGCACGGAAAGCUAGGGGAGCAAACAGG
rnacentral:rRNA from 1 species